UACGGGGGUAAGACAAACAGGGAUGCCUCAGUAACGGCGAGUGAAGCGGCAACAGCUCAAAUUUGAAAUCUGGCCCCCCGGCCCGAGUUGUAAUUUGCAGAGGAUGCUUCGGGCGCGGUGCCUUCCAAGUCCCCUGGAACGGGGCGCCGGAGAGGGUGAGAGCCCCGUACGGUUGGCGGCCAAGCCUGUGUGAAGCUCCUUCGACGAGUCGAGUAGUUUGGGAAUGCUGCUCUAAGCGGGAGGUAGACCCCUUCUAAAGCUAAAUAUAGGCCAGAGACCGAUAGCGCACAAGUAGAGUGAUCGAAAGAUGAAAAGCACUUUGAAAAGAGGGUUAAACAGCACGUGAAAUUGUUGAAAGGGAAGCGCUUGCGACCAGACGUGCGCCGGGGUGCUCAGCGGGCGUUCUCGCCCGUGCACUCGCCCCGGUGCAGGCCAGCGUCGGUUCGCGUGGGAGGAUAAAGGCGCCUGGAAUGUGGCUCCCCCGGGAGUGUUAUAGCCAGGCGUGCCAUGCUCCCCUGCGGACCGAGGUACGCGUUCUGCAAGGACGCUGGCGUAAUGGUCCCCAGCGACCCGUCUUGAAACACGGACCAAGGAGUCGAGGUUUUGCGCGAGUGUUUGGGUGUUAAACCCGCACGCGUAAUGAAAGUGAACGUAGGUGGGAGCUUCGGCGCACCACCGACCGAUCCUGAUGUUCUCGGAUGGAUUUGAGUAAGAGCGUAGGGCCUCGGACCCGAAAGAUGGUGAACUAUGCUUGGAUAGGGUGAAGCCAGAGGAAACUCUGGUGGAGGCUCGCAGCGGUUCUGACGUGCAAAUCGAUCGUCAAAUCUGAGCAUGGGGGCGAAAGACUAAUCGACCAUCCUAUGUUG
rnacentral:rRNA from 2 species